GCGCCGCUAGCUCAACGGCAGAGCGACUGCCUCUUAAGCAGUGGGUUCGGGGUUCAAGUCCCCGGCGGCGUAC
rnacentral:tRNA from 1 species